GCAGCAGGGCAGGUCAUUGGUGGUGUUGGUGUUAGCCCUUAGCUCCGUCGUCGCAGUUUGGUAUAUUCGCCUUCUUCAGGCACGCCACUGCCGACGCUAAAAUACGCAUAUCGUCCGAGUCUACAUUAACGCAUAUUAAAAACUACAGGCAUCCCAAGUGUACAGCAAAAGAGAAAAGAUACUUCUAUGGCUUCCGUAUCAGAGACGGAAGACCCAUCACCGACCAUAUACAUACCAGAUGAAUGGUCAGAGGCUGCAGACGCCAUAGCAUACAAUUCCCCCACUUCAACCGCUCCUAUUGUCUUAAUCUGUGGCGCCAAGAACUGUGGCAAAACUACUUUCUCUCGUUACCUCCUCAACAUUCUUCUCCGGAGGUUAACCC
rnacentral:lncRNA from 1 species